rnacentral:rRNA from 1 species
UACGUAGGGUGCAAGCGUUGUCCGGAAUUAUUGGGCGUAAAGAGCUCGUAGGCGGUCUGUCGCGUCGGCUGUGAAACUCGGGGCUCAACCCCGAGCCUGCAGUCGAUACGGGCAGACUAGAGUGCUGUAGGGGAGACUGGAAUCCUGGUGUAGCGGUGAAAUGCGCAGAUAUCAGGAGGAACACCGGUGGCGAAGGCGGGUCUCUGGGCAGUAACUGACGCUGAGGAGCGAAAGCGUGGGAGCAACAGG